rnacentral:rRNA from 1 species
UCGAGGGGUAUAGGCUUUCGGGCCUAGAGACCGGCGCACGGGUGCGUAACGCGUAUGCAAUCUACCUUUUACAGAGGGAUAGCCCAGAGAAAUUUGGAUUAAUACCUCAUAGUAUUACGACUCGGCAUCGAGAUGUAAUUAAAGUCACAACGGUAAAAGAUGAGCAUGCGUCCCAUUAGCUUGUUGGUAAGGUAACGGCUUACCAAGGCAACGAUGGGUAGGGGUCCUGAGAGGGAGAUCCCCCACACUGGUACUGAGACACGGACCAGACUCCUACGGGAGGCAGCAGUGAGGAAUAUUGGUCCAUGGGCGCAAGCCUGAACCAGCCAUGCCGCGUGCAGGAUGAAGCAUCUAUGGUGUGUAAACUGCUUUUGUACGAGAAGAAACACUCCUUCGUGAAGGAGCUUGACGGUAUCGUAAGAAUAAGGACCGGCUAACUCCGUGCCAGCAGCCGCGGUAAUACGGAGGGUCCAAGCGUUAUCCGGAAUCAUUGGGUUUAAAGGGUCCGUAGGCGGUUUUGUAAGUCAGUGGUGAAAGCCCAUCGCUCAACGGUGGAACGGCCAUUGAUACUGCAAGACUUGAAUUAUUGGGAAGCAACUAGAAUAUGUAGUGUAGCGGUGAAAUGC